AGAGUUUGAUCCUGGCUCAGAACGAACGCUGGCGGCAGGCCUAACACAUGCAAGUCGAGCGAAGCCUUCGGGUUUAGCGGCGGACGGGUGAGUAACGCGUGGGAAUAUGCCCUUCUCUACGGAAUAGCCCUGGGAAACUGGGAGUAAUACCGUAUACGCCCUACGGGGGAAAGAUUUAUCGGAGAAGGAUUAGCCCGCGUUGGAUUAGGUAGUUGGUGGGGUAAUGGCCUACCAAGCCUACGAUCCAUAGCUGGUUUGAGAGGAUGAUCAGCCACACUGGGACUGAGACACGGCCCAGACUCCUACGGGAGGCAGCAGUGGGGAAUCUUAGACAAUGGGGGCAACCCUGAUCUAGCCAUGCCGCGU
rnacentral:rRNA from 1 species